rnacentral:rRNA from 1 species
AUACGUAGGGUGCAAGCGUUAAUCGGAAUUACUGGGCGUAAAGCGUGCGCAGGCGGUUUUGUAAGACAGUGGUGAAAUCCCCGGGCUCAACCUGGGAACUGCCAUUGUGACUGCAAGGCUGGAGGGCGGCAGAGGGGGAUGGAAUUCCGCGGGGAGCAGUGAAAUGCGUAGAUAUGCGGAGGAACACCGAUGGCGAAGGCAAUCCCCUGGGCCUGCACUGACGCUCAUGCAGGAAAGCGUGGGGAGCAAACAGGAUUAGAUACCCUGGUAGUCCACGCCCUAAACGAUGUCAACUGGUUGUUGGGGAUUUAUUUUCUCAGUAACGAAGCUAACGCGUGAAGUUGACCGCCUGGGGAGUACGGCCGCAAGGUUAAAACUCAAAGGAAUUGACGGGG